UACGUAGGGGGCUAGCGUUGUCCGGAAUUACUGGGCGUAAAGCGCACGUAGGCGGGUUCUUAAGUCGGUGGUGAAAUCCUGGAGCUCAACUCCAGAACUGCCUUCGAUACUGGGAAUCUUGAGUCCGGGAGAGGUGAGUGGAACUGCGAGUGUAGAGGUGAAAUUCGUAGAUAUUCGCAAGAACACCAGUGGCGAAGGCGGCUCACUGGCCCGGUACUGACGCUGAGGUGCGAAAGCGUGGGGAGCAAACAGG
rnacentral:rRNA from 1 species